CAGUUCUGCCUGGAGGCCCGGUCUAUAAAUGCCCGCCUUCUCUCCCUUCCUCUCCCAUCUCAACUUCCCUUCCUAUUCUCCCCAAAGCCGCUCCAGCGCCUCCAUUCUCUCUGCUUGCUUCUCCUCCCACCUCCUUCCAUCUCAGCCCACUGGCCUGACUUCUUCUCUUUCCAUUGCUCAUUCUUUCUUUCUUUCUUCGACUAACCCAUUCCUCUCCUACUAUAGGUGACUACUCUCAGGACUUGUCUAUCUCUCGACAUCUUCCAACACACCUCGAUUCCUCCAUUAAAUGGCAUCGCCAUUUCUAGCCAUUCAGCUUUCCAUGCUUUCCGACGGUCUACGAACAAUCCUUCGAUACGUCUUAACCAAUCGACUGGACGGCAUUGUCGUCUUCAUGUAUAGGACUUGUCUAUCUCUCGACAUCUUCCAACACACCUCGAUUCCUCCAUCAAAUGGCAUCGCCAUUUCUAGCCAUUCAGAUUCAAUCACUUCGUCAAGUCCAAAAGCUUCAACACUCAUCACCCUACAUGGACACAUCUCUGACCUUACCUAUUCUAUUCGAAUUUCAAACGGGUUUGCUCUGCAACCUAUCCUUAUACCUAUCCUUCUCUCAUAUCCUAUCUUUACUCUGAGCGGCACCGGAUGACACUGGCGACGAACAAACGGCUACGAGGCAUUCGAGAACGACAGACUGGAGGCCGACAGGCCGAGCGAGCGAACGGACGAAACGAAACGAACAGCCACGAGGCAACCGAGACGAAUCGAUCCAUUAAAACCCCAAACGGCGAUGAACGGACGAUCGGAGUGGGAUGUCAACAUCCAGCAACCCCUAUAUCAAGCAGAUAUCUAACCCGGGGGGUGCCUGAUGCGGACAUCCCGCCGCUCCCAGAAUCAUUUAGGAUACACAACCGGGAGUGUUAGGUUUCUCUUAUACGAACAACGAACCGAACGAACGAGGCGGAUCGAUCGAACGG
rnacentral:lncRNA from 1 species